rnacentral:lncRNA from 1 species
UGCCUGGAGUGAAGAUUCUGCCCAUUGGUCAAGAGACCUCCCUCUCAGAUGCUGGCUCUGCCCCUGCCUUUGGGGGUCGACCCUUGUACUCGCAGGACCUUAGGUGACUCUAUUCUACUUCUCUGAUCAUCCAGGAAGCCAACCUGCCUGAGGACGAGUCAUACUCUGUCCUCCCACCCCAGGCCAGAGAGUGGUAUCUGUCUUUCCACAAGUUCUUGAUGCAGAUGAGCAGGUAACCAUGGAAGUCGUGAGCUGAGGCUGCAGAGUCUAGAGCCAGAGUGUGGAAUAAACUUGGGUCUCAAAUCACCCCUGGAGCAAAGCACCCAUCUAAUCAGGAACUUCUACUUUCAACUUUACAUGCGUGAGAAAUGAACUUCUAUCAUGUUAGAGAAAUCCUUACACGGCGCCCUUGAGAGCUUUCAUACUGCAAGUCAUCCA